CAACGUACUGAUUAUCUCGUGAGUGGUUGUGGAAGCUGCUUUGGCCUCAUCUCGUUUGAUAGUGGGUUGCUAUCCCACUAUGUGCACACUAGCUGUUGCAGUUCCAGCCUGUGUAACAAAGCUGUUGAACCGGACAUCGAGAACAGCACGCUGAAUGGACUGGAAUGCCACGCAUGCUUUGCUUUUGCAGACGAGUGCAGAAAUUUGACAACCCCAGUGAAAUGUAGAGGAGAGCAAGAUCAUUGCCUGCACACUUCAGGGCUUCUGACAGGGUCCAACUCAAUGAUUUUCGUGAUGAAGGGCUGUGCUUCCCACUUCCUCUGUCAAAAUCCUGGUGGUCUCAGUUUGAACGGUCUCGAUCCGACCUACGGAUUCUACUGCUGCAAGGGCGGCCUGUGCAAUCUCGAGUCACGGAAUUUCACCCUGACCACUACUCCCAACACUAACCUAACCCAACCCAAUGCCUCCACGCCUCUCCCCACCAGUAUAACGAACAUGGCUCCAGUCCUACCCAAUGCCUCCACACCUCUCCCCACCAGUAUAACGAACAUGGCUCCAACCCAACUCAAUGGCUCCUCUACUGUUCCCGGUGCUGGACCAACCAUGCUCAAUGCUUCUGCCACCAUUUCCACAACCACUUCCACGUCUGGCCCAACCCGACUCAGCACCUCCCUCAGCAUUGCUCUCCCCCUGGUCUUCCUCAGACUGGUGCUCUGAAGCACAACCCUUCACUCUUCAUCUGUCCUCGGCUGGGUAGCAGGAGUCUGUGGGUGGAACGAGGGUUCCUAAGAGGGAGGGUCAUUCCCAACAGGCUCAGUGCGGUCAAACCCUCUCGUCAACAGAUUUACAGUCCCCCUCAAUCUCCUGCUGGGAGACCUUUCCCAGCUCAUUCCCUCCCACAUCUGGUUCUACAGCAGAUAUUCUAUGGCGGUAUUUGCUCACUGGUAGUUGUAGUUGUGCAAUGUUUGAUCCCAGCAUGAGCAAGAAGCCAUUCAGCCCAUGAUGUCGAUAGCAGCUGUUUCUUAAAUCAGUUUCAAACCUGCUCCACUUCCAGCUCUCUCGCCAUAUCCCUGUAUCAUUCCCAAACUGAUCCCACUGUCUCCCCAUAUUUCUGCAUCAUUCUCAAACUGAUCCCACUGGCCAACUUUCACCCCAUAUCCCUUUAUCAUUCUGAAACUAAUCCCAAAAACUCUCUCCCCAUGCACCUAUUACUGGAAAACCAGAAACCAGUUACACCUCCCUCUGUACCUCUGUAAAUAGUUACAUUUCUCUAGGUAUCUCUGUAAUUAGUUAACAAGGUGUAGAGCUGGAUGAACACAGCAGGCCAAGCAGCAUCAGAGGAGCAGGAAGGCUGACGUUUCGGGGCUAGACCCUUCUUCAGAAAAUUGUUAUCCCAGAUUCUCCAGCAUCUGCAGUUCGUACUGUCUCUGUAAUCCUCUGUCUCCCUCUGUUGGUGUAUCACUGUAUUAGCAACUUUUUUUCUCACCACCAUAGAAAUGAUAUGAGGAACGACAUUCCAAGGUGUGAUGCUUUACAUAUAUACUUUCAUGGAAGCAUAUUUGGAAAAAUUCUUUUCGUCAAUGUGGCCCUGGUGUAAAAUGACUGGUGUGUGAGUCAGGAUGGACUUGGAUGGGUGUAUGAAUCUCAGAGAUGAUCUGGGGCACUGACAGCGUUUGUGGGGCAUUCUAAUGGGUGCAGAAAGUGGUAGCACCCAUUUUUGUGAUAUCUCCCCAGAUCCCAAGAUUAUAUUGUACUGUUGUGUUUCAAACUGAGUUCCUGAGCUGUAUGUACCACUUCUGGUGGCCAGCCAGAUACUAGCAACAACCUAAAGGAGGCAGUGUUUUAAGACAACAAGAUGUCCUGUGAUGCUGCUUGGCCUGCUGUGUUCAUCCAGCCCUGUACCUUGUUGUCUAAGAUGUAGAG